rnacentral:rRNA from 1 species
UAAAGCGUGCGCAGGCGGUUUGUAAGACUGUCGUGAAAUCCCCGGGCUCAACCUGGGAAUGGCGAUGGUGACUGCAAGGCUAGAGUUUGGCAGAGGGGGGUAGAAUUCCACGUGUAGCAGUGAAAUGCGUAGAUAUGUGGAGGAACACCGAUGGCGAAGGCAGCCCCCUGGGUCAAAACUGACGCUCAUGCACGAAAGCGUGGGGAGCAAACAGGAUUAGAUACCCUGGU